rnacentral:tRNA from 1 species
UGGGGUGUAGCCAAGAGGUAAGGCAACAGACUUUGACUCUGUCAUCUCAGUGGUUCGAUCCCACUCACCCCAGCCA